rnacentral:rRNA from 1 species
UACGUAGGGUGCAAGCGUUAAUCGGAAUUACUGGGCGUAAAGCGUGCGCAGGCGGUUUUGUAAGUCUGGCGUGAAAUCCCCGGGCUCAACCUGGGAAUUGCGAUGGAGACUGCAAGGCUAGAAUCUGGCAGAGGGGGGUAGAAUUCCACGUGUAGCAGUGAAAUGCGUAGAGAUGUGGAGGAACACCGAUGGCGAAGGCGGCCCCCUGGGUCAAGAUUGACGCUCAUGCACGAAAGCGUGGGGAGCAAACAGG